GCUGAGCUCAGUAACGUGGGCUUGUAACCCAAGUGGGGGCAUUAAGGUUACUGAACGUUGGGCCGUUCCAAUUGGCUGGACUCAAGGUGCUAUUUACUGGCCCGCCCGUUCCAAGCGGGGAGUUGGCCCACGGAAUCCAGGCGAAGGCUUGGGCUUCGAGGGCCUUAGAGAGGAGGGCACCGCGUCAGGCUGGAUUUACAGAGCAGCGAUAACUUCCCACUCUCUGCAGUUGAAGGAUAACGGGCCGGUGCUCCUUGGGUCCAACAAAGCCAGUUGAAUCGGUCUUAAUUGGACAGUAACCUUU
rnacentral:SRP_RNA from 1 species